UAGCCGUUUGUAUUUCUACAGUCAUGCUUCUAAAGAUUGUAUGGUUUUAUUUUCACUAUAGAUUUGCUUGAGUAGUUCUGUAACUUCUAGAAUAGAUCAGUUAAGAGGUUUUACUCUUAGGCUUGUAUAAACUUACAACAUCUUUUAUUUGUAUUUUUGGAACAUUAGUUUUGUAUAGCUUUACUUUAGUUUCUGGAAACAAGAUUAAAUACGUAUGUUUGCAGUUUGUAAUUUACAGUAGUAUUUUUUGUGAAUUUGCUUCACUAGUUCUGUAAAAUGUCUAGAAUAGUUCACUUCUGGAAUGAAGAGUUAAUAUGUAUUAAUCAAUCUUCUAAUUUUACCUUUUCGCUUGUAUAGAUUUCCAGCUGUAGUAUUUUUGUUAUUUUUCUUCAGUAGUUUUGGAAAAUGGACUAAAUAUGAAAAGUUGGUUCUAAUUUAUUGUCAGUCUUUUUCUAUAGAUGUUACAGUUGCAUUUUUCUUAUUAGUUUUUGGCAAUUUUGCAAUGAGAAAGGUUUAACAACUGUAGUCUGUUCUGGUUUAUAAGGGCAUUGUAUCCAUGAGGAAAUUUGUUACUUAUUUCUAAAUACAUCUCUUACUGUUUAUCUGUAUGUUGCAGAGCAACUCACAUUGGUGUAGCUUAGAUGCAUUUUAAGAUAUGGCAUGAAGCUAGCUAAGGUCUUCUAUUAUUUCUAGCAGCAUGUGAUUGACUGAACAAGAGAAGGACUCCACUCACAUAUGAAGUGCUUGCAAGUUCUUUUUAAAAAAGCAAAGGACCAGCGGUGUAGCUAAGGGCUUUAAUUUAUUAGUACUCCAUUUGUUGCUUCUAAAACACUUGUAUGCACAGAUACUAGUUUCUCUUGGUUAUCAUAAGUGAACAUUCUUUAGAUAAAUUUCGCCUAGUUUUUUUAGUGGGGAAGGAAAGCUUCAUGAUAUUCCAUUUAAAACGCUGAUAUCUAUUUGAGAAUUAAUUUAUGUGCAUACCUCCUCGACCUAACAGUAUUUUUCUACUGUAUAGGAGAAAUCUUCUCAGUUUCUGAAUCCUGAGCAGUAGCAAGUCAGGUGCUUAAUGGUGAUCCUACCAUGCAUAUGGCAUAAGCAAGUUAGUUCUAAAAAGGUCAUUGUUAAUUUGCCCACAUCUAUCCUGCAAUUGCGACAACUUAGUGCGGUGAGAUUAGAGGACGGUCAUCAAUUUAAUCUACUUUGUGGCACUAAAGUAUAGAUGCUUUUCUCCGAUGCUUUUAUGAAUAUAAUAGUCAGAUGUAGUUUAAGUUCAGAUACUUUUUGACUUUUUGUUUGGUAUUUUGCAUGUCCUCAUGUGCUUAGUACUGCAUUUAGAAAUGAUUUCAGAUAGAUUCUUCUCAUUGAAAUUCAUUUCUAACGCAGGGAAAGUAUGUAUAACCUCCUGAUGUACGUGGGUUUUGAGAAUGCUUUUCCCAGGCCAUGCUGCACUCAUCAUUGAAACUUCUAGUUGUGUAUUAGAUAGUAAUCAUUUUUGCCUAAUGUAUUGCUGUCUAGUGCAGCAAAGUGCGGUCUUUCCACCCCAGAGAAGAAAAAGAAAGAGAACUAGUGCAGUCUUUUCUUCAAAAAUGACUUUCAUGUGUCCCUUGGUGGAUGUGUUGCUCCCAAUAAUUGGGUGUCUGGACAUGCUAAAUUGUUGCCUUGUGGCCAGAUGAUGCAUAUGCUCCUUUUCCAUUUAAUAUACUUCCUGGUCUGCGGAUUGAGGAGAUUCAUACAAGCUAUAUGGUGGGUCGGUGUGGCAUUCAUGCUUUAUUAUGUCUAACCCAUCACAGAUUCUAAUUAGAACAUGCCCUAUAUUUAUAAUACUAAAAUCCCAGUUUGUUUUUGCCAUUGGCGCUUUAUACAAUUAUCAUUUUUCCAUUAUCUCCAUGAAUGCGUGAAUUCACCGGUCACCCUUUUAUCCUUUGUAGGAAUGAAAUACAAGAGGACCAGGAAGUAAGCAUGAAGAUGGCAGUUUGUGUCAGGUAGGCAUUUUGUGUAAUGGGGCAAAAACAUUGUGUAUUUUAUCAUUUUGUAAACCUAUAUAGUGUCUUGUCAAUUGGGUAUUUUGUGUAAUGGAGCAAACAAUGAAACAUUGGACAUGCAUCUAUCAUUUUGUAACCAAUCAGUUGUCUUGGUGAUUGAAACAUAAAUGCUUCUUCCUUUCAGUUA
rnacentral:lncRNA from 1 species